ensembl:lncRNA novel transcript
CAAAAAGCCGAGGGGGAGGAGCGGCGCGGCCGUGAGCGAGGGCAGCCAAGUUUGGCUACAGCACGCGCGGCUUCGCUCCUGCCUCUGGGGAGGAGAGAGGGGACAGUCCCCUCCCGAGCUAGGCUCGGACCUUGGCCCCCAGAGCCGCCGCAGACCUCCAGGGGUGACUUCGUCGCUCCCUAGUCUGGACUCGCUAGGUCCCGGGUGCACCGGAGUCGCGCAGCGAACGCGCCAUGCAGGAGGGCGACAUCGGCCUGGAGGGGCUGCCCCCCAGGGAAGUCCCCACAGUCGGGCACUGUGCCGAGUGGUCGGAGAUCACCUCCUCGGCUCCUGGCUCAUCACUGGGAAAGAUGGGAGCACCCAGGGACUGCAGCAGCUGUGGUCCCCAGGUCCUCGGAUACGUCAUCCUGCAGCCCCACAAGGGACCCAGAA